ACAUACGACCAUAGGCAAAGGAAUUUACCGGGUCCCGUUAGCUCCCCGCAUGUCAACUCUUUGACCGGCGAUGUAGUAGUCAGGUGGGUGACCACUGGCGAAUGCCCGCUGUUGUAUGUU
rnacentral:rRNA from 1 species